rnacentral:rRNA from 1 species
UAAGGAAUAUUGGUCAAUGGAGGCAACUCUGAACCAGCCAUGCCGCGUGCAGGAAGACAGCCCUAUGGGUCGUAAACUGCUUUUAUUGGGGAAUAACCUCCUGUAUGUAUACAGGACUGAAUGUACCCAAGGAAUAAGGAUCGGCUAACUCCGUGCCAGCAGCCGCGGUAAUACGGAGGAUCCAAGCGUUAUCCGGAUUUAUUGGGUUUAAAGGGUGCGUAGGCGGCCUAUUAAGUCAGGGGUGAAAGACGGUGGCUCAACCAUCGCAGUGCCUUUGAUACUGAUGGGCUUGAAUGCAGCUGAGGUAGGCGGAAUGUGACAAGUAGCGGUGAAAUGCAUAGAUAUGUCACAGAACACCGAUUGCGAAGGCAGCUUACUAAAGUGCAAUUGACGCUGAGGCACGAAAGCGUGGGGAUCAAACAGG